ACGUAUAAGCGACGUAUAAUCGUACAUUUGGGUAAAAUAUUAUCUUUACCUAAGCACAAAACGUUUACUUAUCCUGCAUUGUUUGUGCCUCUCCCUCAUUCCCCCGACUCAAAACCCUAACCAGAUCCUUUCGUAGCCUCUGCGCUGUGAAGGAAAAAUGAGUAGCCGUGCGAGCCGGACUCUCUAUGUCGGCAAUCUUCCAGCUGAUAUUCGUGAGAGAGAAGUGGAGGACUUGUUCUACAAGUAUGGACGCAUAGCCCACAUCGAUCUGAAGGUACCGCCUAGGCCCCCGGGUUAUGCAUUUGUUGAGUUUGAAGAUGCUCAAGAUGCUGAAGAUGCCAUUCGUGGUCGUGAUGGCUAUGAUUUUGAUGGGCAUCGGCUACGGGUGGAACUUGCACAUGGUGGCCGUGGGCAUUCAUCAUCAAGAGAUCGUUAUAGUAGUCAUAGUAGUGGGCGGAGUGGACGUGGUGGAGUAUCCAGGCGCUCUGAAUUUCGUGUUCUCGUCACUGGAUUGCCCCCUUCUGCUUCAUGGCAAGACCUUAAGGAUCACAUGCGACAAGCUGGGGAUGUUUGUUUCUCCCAAGUCUUCCGUGAGAAUGGCACAACAGGGGUUGUGGAUUACACAAACUAUGAAGACAUGAAGUAUGCAGUAAAAAAACUUGAUGACUCUGAGUUCCGAAAUGCAUUUUCUAAGGCAUAUGUCCGUGUUAGGGAAUAUGAUUCGAAGAGGGAUGCCUCUAGGAGCCCUAGUCGUGGUCGAUCUUAUUCGAGAGGCAAGAGCCAUAGCCGCAGUCAUAGUCGUAGCCGAAGUAUUAGUCACGGCAAGAGCAAGAGCAAGUCUCCAAAAACCAAAUCUUCUCGCCGCUCACCUGCUAGAGAGCAGUCGAGAUCUGUCUCUCGAUCUCGCUCCCGUUCUCCUGCUGGAUCAAAGUCUCGUUCUAUGUCAGGAUGUGGAUACAUGCAGCGAAGUGGGGAUUGGAAAUUAGGAUCUUGAUGGGAUAUGGUUCAGUUGCCUGCAACUCUUUUGGUUGUGGAGGUAUGCUGUUUUUUAGAUGGGCAGCUUUGGAAACCUUGAUGGUGCCUCUUUGUUCUAAUUCUUUUAGCAUUGCAAAUGUCCAUGGGUGCUAGAUUGGGAACAAAGGAGAUCAUGGUUGCAAUUUUUAAAGCUGGAUAUCUGUGAACUAAGUGCCAUUGGGAUUUGAAUAGCACCAACAAUGAGCAGUAGAGACGAUUUCAUUAUCAUUUUCUGCUCCAACAUUUGCCAAGCUAAUAGGCCGCACUAUCUGGCUUCUCUGGAUUUUUGUGGUACAGUAGGGACAAAUUCUCUUCCCUGUCAGUCCACUGGUGUCUUGAAAAUACCUUGUGAUGCUUUCAUUAAGAUAUUGUCUUUAUGAAUUUAGGUUGCAUUUAUAGGCUGGAAUUAUAUAUAUUGGCCUGAUAUUUUUCUUUGUUGAACUGCUAAAUAUUUAUGGCUUUUCCAUGUAUCCAUUUGAAUAUGGUAACUCCGUGGAAGAGGCAUCAAGGGCUCUUGGAUCAAAUUUGGUAAAAGGAACGUGUGGAUUUUAAAAUGGGUUGUUUCUGGAACUUUUGCAGAUCUCGAUCAAGAUCCAGAUCUCCAGUGCCUUCGCAUCAGAAACGAAAGAGUAAAAGCCCAAAGAGGCACAGUGCAAGCAGGAGCCCGAGCAGGAGCAGGAGCAGGAGCAAGAGUUUAUCCAGGUGAGAUCUGAUUGCAGCUGAUCUGUUGAUUCCUGAAGAUUCUCUGAGUGUGCCUUUUUAUUGUUGAAAAAAACUUUACCAGUAAAGUAUCCUAGGCAAGCAAUAGCAGACCUAUCAUGGGCAGACUUCAGACUGGAUUUUGUGGUGGUUUUCUAAACUGUCAAAAUUAUUUCUAAAUCUUUUUGAAGCCUCUAGAUUGAAACUUGCACAUUCACCAUAUUUGUAUUCCAUAUGAGAUUUGCUAAAUUCCAGCUUUUCAUAAGUUUAGGGUGUUGGAUAUUGAUACCUCGUCCUCUUUCUUUAUACUGUAAUCAUUAUUAUAUGUAAAUUUUCUGUGUUUAUGGGUAAGGAUUUAUUGAUUGCUGUAAAA